CUCUCUUUUCCUUAGGCUCUCCUUGCUGCUGCUUGUCCAGACUGCAAGCAUUGCCUCAGCACUAGUGUAAGGCCUUCAGCUUUCAGGAAAAGAAAAAAAUACUCUGAUUCAAUAGACUUCAUGAUUGCCUCAACUGAAAUACUUCAAUAUCAGCUUCCUCAAUACAAGACAAACAAGAUCACAGUGAGGCAAGAUCUACGAAGAUGAUUUGUGGACUGGAGCAUUUGACAGACGUGAAAUGGCCAAAAGAACUGGAGUUCUUCAGCCUGGAGGAAAGUAGAAUUGGAGAUAUCUGAUUAAUGAAUAUAAACCUUAGAAAGCAUGAAAAAAUAUGAAAAUAGUAGAGAAUCAGAUCAGAAACUUUAAUUUACCCCCUUUCUGAACACAAGAAAAAUUCUAUUCUCUGGAAUAACAAUGAAAACUAUCCUUAAUAUUAUCCUUUCUUAGCAUGUGUAACUCAUUUUCACAGGAUAUAAUCAAAGAGUAGAAUUUAUCUGGAACCUAAAAAACAGUGAAUGUUUAUGCACCUAAUAAUUAUCAGAACUAAUAAUCAUUUAAACCAAGAGUGUUGGAAAGAAUAUAUUAUUUUAAAUCUCAGUAUGGAAACCAAAGGAGACUAUUCAUAAUUAUUAAGAAACUUUACUUAUGUGAAGAAUAAAUUUUAUUAUUCCUUUCUACCAUGAAA